ACGGGUGAGUAACACGUGAGCAACCUGCCCCUGACUCUGGGAUAAGCGCUGGAAACGGCGUCUAAUACUGGAUACGAGUAGCGACCGCAUGGUCAGUUACUGGAAAGAUUUAUUGGUUGGGGAUGGGCUCGCGGCCUAUCAGCUUGUUGGUGAGGUAAUGGCUCACCAAGGCGUCGACGGGUAGCCGGCCUGAGAGGGUGACCGGCCACACUGGGACUGAGACACGGCCCAGACUCCUACGGGAGGCAGCAGUGGGGAAUAUUGCACAAUGGGCGCAAGCCUGAUGCAGCAACGCCGCGUGAGGGAUGACGGCCUUCGGGUUGUAAACCUCUUUUAGCAGGGAAGAAGCGAAAGUGACGGUACCUGCAGAAAAAGCGCCGGCUAACUACGUGCCAGCAGCCGCGGUAAUACGUAGGGCGCAAGCGUUAUCCGGAAUUAUUGGGCGUAAAGAGCUCGUAGGCGGUUUGUCGCGUCUGCUGUGAAAUCCGGAGGCUCAACCUCCGGCCUGCAGUGGGUACGGGCAGACUAGAGUGCGGUAGGGGAGAUUGGAAUUCCUGGUGUAGCGGGUGGAAUGCGCAGA
rnacentral:rRNA from 1 species